rnacentral:rRNA from 1 species
GUAGGGAUCUUCCGCAAUGGACGAAAGUCUGACGGAGCAACGCCGCGUGAGUGAAGAAGGUUUUCGGAUCGUAAAACUCUGUUGUUAAAGAAGAACAAGGAUGAGAGUAACUGCUCAUCCCCUGACGGUAUUUAACCAGAAAGCCACGGCUAACUACGUGCCAGCAGCCGCGGUAAUACGUAGGUGGCAAGCGUUGUCCGGAUUUAUUGGGCGUAAAGCGAGCGCAGGCGGUUCUUUAAGUCUGAUGUGAAAGCCCCCGGCUCAACCGGGGAGGGUCAUUGGAAACUGGAGAACUUGAGUGCAGAAGAGGAGAGUGGAAUUCCACGUGUAGCGGUGAAAUGCGUAGAUAUGUGGAGGAACACCAGUGGCGAAGGCGACUCUCUGGUCUGUAACUGACGCUGAGGCUCGAAAGCGUGGGGAGCAAACAGGAUUAGAUACCCUGGUAGUCCACGCCGUAAACGAUGAGUGCUAAGUGUUGGAGGGUUUCCGCCCUUCAGUGCUGCAGCUAACGCAUUAAGCACUCCGCCUGGGGAGUACGGCCGCAAGGCUGAAACUCAAAGGAAUUGACGGGGGCCCC